CUGAAUAAAAUAUUUUCAUUUUAAUUGGCGCCGAGCCGGAGCGUGGCGAGCUAGAUACGUUCCACCGCCUCAGAGCGUGCCUAUAGAUGCUUCUUUCCCACUCUUUCCUAACAACGAUUGUAUUUGCUAUACAUCUUUUGAGUUCUUUGCAAUGUGCUCUCUCGUGAAGGAUCACUUUUCUUUUUGUUUUCUAGUUCUUACAUUUACUCUCAGUCUCGAUUUCUAGUCUCUGGUUCCGAUCUUUCUUUGAUCUCAUUCUUCCCCUAGAAGAGACAUUGGGUGAAGGUGGUUCAAUCACCGAUGAAUACGAUUUAUUGGUUGAAUUAGACCUUUUUGGAAACAACCGCCGGUGUAGAUGGUUGAAUCAGUCGAGCUCGAGGUCUCUGGAGAGCUACAAAGAUUCAGUCGGGAAUUCUUAAGGCUGGUGGUGUUGAUUAUUGGUGAUGGCUAUAGACUCACAGUCACAGAGAAAGAAAGACAGCGUUUGAGAAUCAAGUGAUGCUUCUGAUGAAUCCUCAGACAAGGAUAAGGGCAAAACCGCAAAGGCAAUCAUAAUUAUUUUGAGUGCAGACAUCUAAAAAGAGUGAAGGGGAUGGCAUUUCUAAAAGCAAGCCUAAUGAUUCUGACUCUGCCAGUAGGAAAUAACAUAUUACGUUUAAUGAGGAAUGGCUGAAAGUUUGGAUGCAAUUGUUUCCCUCUUGAAGAAUGGUGCAGUAACUAUAGGAUCAUUGGCAUCCUUCUUCUUGGAGAAGCUCUGAACCAUCUUUCAUCAAAGCCACUAGACAAUGCAACUAUACUUAUCUUGAUAACAUUCUUCACAGAGCGACUGGUGAUUCUGGCUUUGUUAUUCAGCAGCACAAUCUAUGUCUGCAAAGCUGUAUAUGGAUUUUUUUUCCCCUGUAAUCGUGUUCUACGUCUGCCUAGUGUUUAUCAUCUACUUUCUUUGUUUCUUCAGCUGUGUUUCUAUUUGCUUCAUUUUACUCAUGUUUCAGGACAAUAUUGAAUGUCAUAUUUUAGUAAUAUAAUUUUAUUAUUACAAGAACAUGUUUGACUGCUGAGCCGGGAUUUCCAUUAGAUAAUUUGUGUGAAAAUACACAUUAUGUUUAAAAUAGUCUUAAUGGAGAAAUAGUAGUCUGUCUUUUGAGUCUGGCAUUUUCUUUUUUACUCAAAUUCAGUUGAAUGAUUUUUGUUUAAAUUGUUCCAUUGGCGUAAAUUCUUCUUCCUACUUAAUUUUAAUGUUUAACUUGAAGCAUUUCUUCAAGAUCCUUGUGGUCUGGAUUAACUGCUGUUUUCUGAAGGAAGCUUGAAAGCAAAUGUUUGUUUUGAAGCUGCAUGUCCUUGUCUCGCAGUACAAAAUCCUAACUGUUGAUCAUUUGAGUGCUAGAAAUUGGAGAACAGAGAAUAGAUUUUAUGAAUAUAUGGAGGGGAUCAUCUUGAUACUGCUAUGUGGAACAAGGAAAAGAGGAAACCAAAUGCACUGCUGAAAAUCCUGAGCAAGAGAUUUUUUAAAAUGCCAGGCCAUUAGUUGGCCUUAACUCUUGUAAAAUCCUUUUAUAUUAAUGUUGUCAUGCAUUGGCUUUAUUCUACUUGUUAAUUAGCCUUAAUCUAGAAUUUCCAGAUCAUGAGGCUUGCUUUUCAAUAGUUAUUUUUACCGGCAGGAAUUAUCUGGUUAUUAGUCGCUUCUAGGCUUCCAAAUGUACUCUGUUCGAGGGAGGGAUUUAUUUUUUCCCAGCAAGUGCAUUAAGCUCCCUAGUUUGAAAAGCUGUCAUAGAGAAUGCUCAUGUUAUCAUUAAAUGCCUAAUUGAACUUGUUGCAUACCUUGUACGAUGUGGCCAGAGUAUAACUUUCAACUUCUGCUCCACACAUUUACUUCCUACCCAGCUGUCCGCUUAUAGAUCCGAUGUUUACUUGUGACCAUUCACAUAUAAGUUUCUAAUGUCCGAGAAAUAGCAAUUCAAUGUCUUGUUGCCAUGUCAGAGCUGCCUCACACAAGGAUUUACCCUUUGAGAGUCCAGGUAUUACAAGCAUUGUCUAAAGCAUUUGAUGAUCCAAAGAAGGCUGUUCGUCAAGAAGCUGUUAGGUGCCGGCAAGCAUGGUCAGUGCUUUAGAUCUUUAUUGCUGUAGCCUGAAAUGAUAUAACCCACAGAUUCAUUGACAUAGAUUUCUGUUAAUCGUCAAAAUAAGGCGUCAAUUGCAUCAAGAAGUCCUCAUUUGUGAAGAGCACAAGCAUUCUCAGACAACUUUGGUUUUCCUCUUACAAGGUUAUCAAGUAUUUUUGGAUGACUGCCCGCUUGGAAUGGUAGCACGGGAUGCUCUAGCAACCAAAUUUGCAAAAACAAAGGUUGAUUUAGGAAUAACAUGAUCGUAAGUUUGGAGAUUGUAACCAAAGCUUCCAUUUGGCAAUUCUGGGUAAAGUAGAUCGAGCAUGUAGAAUUACCAUACCAUCAAACUCCAUCCCAAGUAUCUAACAAAAACCGAAAAAAGUAGAACAGAGUGAAAGAAAGGGCCAUGAGCAUGGCAUGACAUAGGAUGAGGCGCGAAAAGAACCAUGGAUGGAAGUUUACGCCACACGUCUUAUGAAACAAAAAAAUGUGAAAAAUACAACAAAAGUUGAGGACGAAAAGAAAUAUUUAACUGUUCUAUAGAUUAACUUAAGAUGUUUACAGUACAUCAAAACAUCAGGCCUUGAUGAACUUCUUUACACCUUCA